AUGGAGAAGGUCUGUAUGAAUGGAUUUGUCUGUAUUGGGUGCCUAGUUAUAGGGCUGCCUUCUGCUCUGUACUUGGAAAAGUGAAUAUUGUUGCCAUCUACGACUCCUUCAUUGACCUCAACUACAUGGUCUAAAUGUUCCAGUAUGACUCCACCCAUGGCAAAUUCAACAGCAAAGUCAAGGAUGAUAGUGGGAAGCUUGUCAUCAACGGGAAGCCCAUCACCAUCUCCCAAGAGCGAAAUCCCCGCUAACAUCAAAUGGGGUAAUGCUGGUCCCGAGUAUGUUGUGGAGUCUACUGGAGCCUUCACCACAUGGAGAAGGCUGGGGCCCACAUGAAGGGUGGGGCCAAAAAGGUCAUCAUCUCACCCCUUCUGCUGAUGCCCCCGUGCUUGUAAUGGGUGUGAACCACCCAAAAUAUGACAAAAUACUCAAGAUUGUCAGCAAUGCAUCGUGCACCACCAACUGCUUAGCCCCCCUGGCCAAAGUCAUCCAUGACAACUUUGGAAUCAUGGAAGGGCUCAUGAACAUGACCCAGGCCAUCACUUCCACUCAGAAGACUGUGGAUAGUCCCUCUGGAAAGUUGUGGCAUGAUGGCUGGCCAGAACAUCAUCCCUGCAGCCACUGGUGCUGCCAAGGCUGUGGGCAAGGUCAUCCCAGAGAUGAACAGGAAGCUCACUGGCAUGUCCUUAUGUGUUCCUAUCCCCAAUGUAUCCAUUUUGAAUAUGACAUGCCACCUGGAGAAACCUGACAAGUAUGAUGACAUCAAGAAGGUGGUGAAGCAGGCAUCUGAGGGCCCACUAUAGGACAUCCUGGGCUACACUGAGAACUAAGUUGUUCCCUGCGAUUUCGACAGCAACUCCCAUUAUUCUACCUCUGAUGCUGGGACUGGCAUUGCUCUCAAUGACAACUUUGUAAAGUUCAUUUCCUGGUUUGACAAUGAUAUGGAUGCAGAACAGGGUAGUGGACCUCAAUGGCCUACAUGACCUCCAAGGAGUAA
rnacentral:lncRNA from 1 species